UAAUGAUCUGUGUAUGUUUUAGUGCUCCAAACUGUGUAAGUGUGUGUUUCUGACUAAAACUGGUCCAUGUGACCAUCAGAAUACAUGUUACAGCUAAUAGACCAAUCAAAUCAGUCCACAGCUUCAAAUCAUCCAAUCAGGUGUGAGUCUGGACCUGGUUUUCUACUGAACACACAAGUUCAUUAGAUCACUUGGUGUGAACAGGAACGAUGAUCAGACUCUUUGUCGUUCUUUGUGCUCUUUUUUCUCUCUUCACAGCUGUGAAAACUUCUGACAUCAAGGAGAUUGACAUGAUAACAGUAAAGCGUGGAGAAGAUGUAACUAUGAAGUGUAGCAUUAGCAGUGACACAAAGACAAAUAGUGUAGUUUGGUACAGACAAAUUUCAGGAAAAUUAUCACAGUUUAUUGCAAAACCAAGAGCGAAUUCGGCUACAGAUUUAUUGAUGGAUUUAAUGAUGAUUGUUUCAGCAUUAGUGUAAAUGACAAUAAAUUUGAUCUCAAAAUUAAAAACACAAGAGAAGAUGAUGAAGGAGAAUAUUUCUGUGGAGAAAUGGACAGAAGUAAAGUGAUGUUCACAUCUGGAACACGUCUGCAAUUUGAAGACACGACACACCUUCCAACAUCUGGAACAAGUAAUAAUUUGGCUUACUUUCAUUUUGAAUGUAAACAAAUAUUUACUGUUUCAUAUUUUUUAUAUUUAGUAUCAUUUUUGUUUAUUUGCUGCUUUUCUGAUUUAUCUGUAAAGACAAAGAGACGACACACAGUGAUACAUCUGGAACUACAGAAAGAGAUUUACACAGCAGCAAUGAAACAAGUAAGAA